rnacentral:rRNA from 1 species
UACGUAGGGGGCAAGCGUUGUCCGGAAUCAUUGGGCGUAAAGAGCGUGUAGGCGGCCCGAUAAGUCCGCCGUGAAAGUCCAGGGCUCAACCCUGGAAUGCCGGUGGAAACUGUCGGGCUGGAGUCCGGAAGAGGCGAGUGGAAUUCCUGGUGUAGCGGUGAAAUGCGCAGAUAUCAGGAGGAACACCAAUGGCGAAGGCAGCUCGCUGGAACGGUACUGACGCUGAGGCGCGAAAGCGUGGGGAGCAAACAGG